rnacentral:snoRNA from 1 species
GGCGAUGAUGAUGUGCUCUUAUUAAACUACACCUCUCAGGAUGAGAACAGCUACUCUGUAGUUGUUCUUUGAGCAGAUCUAGUAAAACAUCUGAGCC